rfam:Nicotiana attenuata strain TT chromosome 10, whole genome shotgun sequence.
AUUCCGCUGUGUUGACAUUUUCGAACAAUAUCCUUAAACCUCUCCCAAGCUUCAAAUAGAGUUUCAGCAUCUCUCUGGCAGAAGUUAUGGAUUUGUCUUCUAAACCU